AUUCCAGCUCCAAUAGCGUAUAUUAAAGUUGUUGCGGUUAAAAAGCUCGUAGUUGGAUCUCGGCGGGCAGGGGGUGGUUCGCUCUUCAGCGCUACUGCCCCGCUUUGCCCGUGUGAUUGGCGGAGGUUUCGGGGUGCUCUUCGUUGAGUGACUCGGAGCGCCGUCAGGUUUACUUUGAAAAAAUUAGAGUGCUCAAAGCAGGCUUUUCACGCUUGAAUAUUCGUGCAUGGAAUAAUGGAAUAGGAACUCGUUUCUAUUUUGUUGGUUUCUAGAAUUGAAGUAAUGAUUGAUAGGGAUAGUUGGGGGUGCUAGUAUUGGCCGGCCAGAGGUGAAAUUCUUGGAUUCGGUCAAGACUAACUUAUGCGAAAGCAUUCACCAAGGAUGUCUUCAUCG
rnacentral:rRNA from 1 species